rnacentral:rRNA from 1 species
CCUGGCUCAGAUUGAACGCUGGCGGCAUGCUUAACACGUGCAAGUCGAACGGCAGCAUGACUUAGCUUGCUAAGUUGAUGGCGAGUGGCGAACGGGUGAGUAACGCGUAGGAAUAUGCCUUAAAGAGUGGGACAACCUGGGGAGACUCAGGCUAAUACCGCAUAAUGUCUAAGGACAAAAGCUGGGGACCUUCGGGCCUGGCGCUUUAAGAUUAGCCU